UACGUAGGGUGCAAGCGUUGUCCGGAAUUAUUGGGUUUAAAGGGUCCGCAGGCGGUCUUAUAAGUCAGUGGUGAAAUCUCUCAGCUUAACUGAGAAACUGCCAUUGAUACUGUAGGACUUGAAUUUGGUCGAAGUGGGCGGAAUACGACAUGUAGCGGUGAAAUGCAUAGAUAUGUCAUAGAACACCGAUAGCGAAGGCAGCUCACUAGGCCAACAUUGACGCUCAUGGACGAAAGCGUGGGGAGCAAACAGG
rnacentral:rRNA from 1 species